rnacentral:rRNA from 1 species
UACAGAGGGGGCAAGCGUUAUUCGGAAUUAUUGGGCGUAAAGAGCUUGUAGGCGGUUUGUCGUGUCUGCUGUGAAAAUCCGGGGCUCAACCCCGGACUUGCAGUGGGUACGGGCAGGCUAGAGUGUGGUAGGGGAGACUGGAAUUCCUGGUGUAGCGGUGAAAUGCGCAGAUAUCAGGAGGAACACCGAUGGCGAAGGCAGGUCUCUGGGCCACGACUGACGCUGAGAAGCGAAAGCGUGGGGAGCAAAAAGG